rnacentral:lncRNA from 1 species
UUCAUAAGCGUGAUGAUUGGGGAUUCACGCCUUUGCGUGACAUGUGCCGCCCAUUAAGCCUUGUUACGCCGCGGGCACAUUACCCGUCUGACGUGAACUAAAGAGGAUCCACCACUUUCACUUUGAAACUUGAAGUGUCUACUCUGGAUGUUUCUCUAGAGGAGUGUUCCCGGCUGCCAGUUUUAGUACUAUCUUCAGUUUUGGCAAACUGGACUCUUCUUUUAAGAAAUCAGACUAUGGAGAAGGGGAAAGGGUCACCAUCCACUGAGCAAAUUGAGAACAUGGGAAGGUGGGAGAGUGAGAAGGGAAGAAAAGGAAGGAUGCAGAGGUCAUGAGGAGGCAGAAAGGUUGAGUCAGAUGGAGAUUAGAAGAAAGGACAUAUGAUAGUAGUGCCACAAGUUAGAGAAGAAGCUGUCAACACAUGGGCCUUUGGGGCUUUAGUUCACAUCCAGUCAAGCCUAUGAGGAAAUCAGAGGUAUUUCGUAUAGGCUGAAAACUUGGACCCUUCAAUUGUGCCGACACAGCAGCCCGAG